GCAAGCAGUAGAGAGAAAGAGCCAAUCUAUAUGGGGCCCUGCUGUUAAUUAUCUAAAAAUCGUUCAGAAACCCAAGUCACUGACUCACAUAGAUACAGAGGCAGGAGGUGAUGGGGUUGGGAAGAGGAUUUUGGCCGACGCCCACUCUGAGUAUGAGCAGCUGAGACAAGAAAAUGUACGUAGCCACCAUUGUGUCGUACGGCGACAACUUUAUGGACAUGGUGUAUCGUGAUGUGAUGGACAUGAUAUGCUGGCCCUAUCAGUAAGACACCAUUCUGAGAC